UGCGCGGUAGUAGCAGUGGUAGCUCGCCAGGCUCAUAACCUGGAGGUCGGGGGUUCGAAUCCCUCCUGCGCAA
rnacentral:tRNA from 1 species